AUCUACCUAGGUGGUAUAGUCAUAGCCACUUUCUAAUGGUGGGUAAUACUGUAUAAUCCCUGCGGGGGAAAGAUUUAUCUCUACUUGAUGAGCCUAUGUUAUAUUAGCUAGUUGGUGGGGUAAUGGCCUACCAAGGCAGUGAUCUAUAGCUGGUCUGAUAGGAUGAUCAGCCACACUGGAACUGAGACACGGUCCAGACUCCUACGGGAGGCAGCAGUGGGGAAUAUUGGACAAUGGGCGCAAGCCUGAUCCAGCUAUGCCGCGUGAGUGAGGAAGGCCUUAGGGUUGUAAAACUCUUUCAGUGGGGAAGAUAAUGACGGUACCCACAGAAUAAGUCCCGGCAAACUCCGUGCCAGCAGCCGCGGUAAUACGGAGGGGGCAAGCGUUUGUUCGGAAUUAUUGGGCGUAAAGGGCAUGUAGGUGGUUUGGUAAGUUAAAGGUGAAAUGCCAGGGCUUAACCCUGGAGCUGCUUUUAAUACUGCCAGACUGGAGUCCGGGAGAA
rnacentral:rRNA from 1 species